GAGAGAUGAUUUGGAAGAUACCAUUUGACUGCUUUUUACUGACGUGACCAUAUGUCUACCCGGAGAUUGGAGACCUUGGACAGCUGGAGGAUCCAAGAUAACCUCCCUCCUCCUGUCUGGAUUCGCAGAAUAAAACCUUGUCAAAACAACAAAGGAAAAGUGGCCGGACUUCAGUUUAAGAAGAUGUCAUUUGCUACCAACACCAAACUGAUGCUACCAACACCAAACUGAUGCUACCAACACCAUACUUGAUUGAGUCCCACUCAGUUGAGUCCCAUAUAUGAUUGAGUCCCACUCAGUUGAGUAUGACUGGAUCUAGAGAUUUCCUUUUCCACUUAGCUCUUUAAUAAAGAUCUUCUCAGAAAGCCCCCAACUGGUCGGAUGCUGCCCCACCCCCACUUCUGUUUGCUUCCCGGUUGGCUGACUGUAGGGGCUUUAGAGGGUCCCUGUUGUCUUGUUGGAUUAGGGGGUUGCUAGCUUUUGAAGCAGGCCUGCUCAUUGCCGAUUUCCCCUAGGCAUUUGUUUUUGAAGCCAAAGCUUCAAAGGCAAGCAACAUUUGAAAUUCCUCAGCUAUUUAUCCGGUUGGAGAGGUUAGAUGCAGACCGUCAAGAAGCCAUUUGUUACUUUCAUUGGGUUCCAUAGAUAAGCAGGAAGCCACCAUUUGGAGGAAGACCUGACACCCUGCUUUGAGGAGUGGGGUCUCUUGUAGAGGGUCUGCUUGGGGCCAAUGUUUUCACUUGCAAUUUCUCAGAAAAAGGCUUUAGGAAAAUUGAGUAUGGAAAUUGCCUUUGUUUGUAUGUGUGUAUUGUAUAUACUGUGUUUUUUGUUUAUUUGUUUUUUUGGAUGAUGGGUAGGCAAAGGAUUGGGAAGAAGUCUAGGCAUUUCCAACCAGUACUAAUAGAACAGCCAUUUUCAGAGUGUGGCCCAGGGAUCCCUGGGGGUUCCGGAAACACUUCUAGGAUUCAGUAAAGUCAAAACCGUUUUCCUAAUAACACUAAGAUGUUAUUUGACCUUUUCACUUUCAUUCUUUCAUCAGUGUACUGAGAAGUUUCCAGAAGAUACCUGACAGGUGGUAUUCCAACAGAAUGAAUCCAAAACCAGGCAUGAGAAACUAGCUGUCUCCUAUCAGACCAGACAUAAAGAGAGUGGCAAAAAAAGUAAAACAGUGUCCCCUCUUUUCACUUACUUUUUUAGAAAAAUGUAACUACUUUCCAUAAAAUUAUAUUUUAUGUUAACAUGUGAUAGGCCUAUUAUUUUUAAAUGAACUAAUAAUUUUUUGGAAAUUUUCUGUUUUAUUAUAAAGAUGGAUAUAUAUAUAUCCCUCUAAAACAAAAGACAGUUUCAGAUCCUCAGGAUUUUUAAAGAGUAAAGAGGUCCUGACACCGAAAGGUUUGAGAACCACAGUAACAGAGCUAUCAAAACUCGGUCUAGAUCAUUGUACAAUUAUAAAUGUAAUAAAUUCAUUGAGUAAUAUAAAAACAAAACGCACAACUCAGUCUGAAUAAAGCCGCAGAAAAUCAUAUAUUUCAAAACUAGAAGGAUCCUUACAGAGUGAUCUGGUCCUGUCCCCUUCAUUGUUCAGACAGGCUAAGUAUUACCCCUUUUUACAGGUGGGACAAUUGAGACCCAGAGGGUUCACAGACUUCCCCAAAGCUCUGUGGCUGUUGAGUGCAGAGUUAGGAAGAGGAGAGAGAUGGAGACUGGUGUGGGACCUGGGUCCUUUUCCUUCCGAUGCCAGCGUAGCUCUACCCACUCUCCUACUCUGCCAGGGAUGUGAAUGCUCCUUAUUAUGAGAACAUAAACCAACACGUAGAUAAACCUAUCUUCCUCCUUUUCUCUUUUUGUUUGUCUAUUCGGUUUAUCUUUGAUAAAUUUUUUUGGUGAAGGAUCUGAAAGUGCUAGAAAGAACCAUUUAUUUGCUUAGCUUAUUGGGACUGUGGGCUGAAGCUGAUGAUGUUGACAAUGUGGCUUCAGUCCUCUCAAGGCUUGACUUAUGCAGGAUCUGCUUCCAAACUCACUGGUGUUGUGUUGGCAAACUGUGGCAUACAUUCCUGGCCUCGUGAACCUCUUCUUGGGGCAGCUCACAGUAUGGCAGCUGGCUUCCCUCAGAGUGAGGAGAGGGAGGGGCUACAUUCAGGGAGAAAGGAUUCUGCUGGGAUGCGUCUGAAUUUCAGGAGGCAUGAAUCUUUGAGAAGCAUCUUUUUUUCUUUUCUUUUUUUUUUUUCUUUUUAGUGCUGCACUCAAAGCAUAUGGAGGUUCCAAGGCUAGGAGUCUAAUCAGAGCUGCAGCUGCUGGCCUACACCACAGCCACAGCAAUGCCAGAUCCGAGCCAUGUCUGCAACCUACUCCACAGCUCACGACAAUGCUGGAUCCUUAGCCCACUGAGUGAGGCCAGGGAUCGAACCCACAACCUCAUGGUUCCUAGUCGGAUUCAUUUCUGCUGCGCCACGACGGGAACUCCAAGAAGCAUCUUAAAGACUGUCUACUACAGCCUCUAACCUGAUAUCUGGUCCUCUCAUCUUGUGUACCUACCUCAUCACACAGUGCCUUCCGAGUAUAAAUAGCUUGUGCUCACUAACUUGGGGCCAGUCUAGCACAGAGUUUAAGAGCAUGAACUUUGCAGCCUGUCUUUCUGGGUUUGACUCCUAGUUCUACCACUCAAUAGCUGAUGACCUCGGGAAAGUUACUCUGUACUUUAGUUUCCCAUCCAUAAAAACGGGGCUGAUAACAGUUGCUCUGUGAUAGUGAUUGCUGUGAAGAUCAAGUCAAUGCAUAGUAUGGAGUGUGUAAGAUAGUGGCUAACAUUGAGUAAGCAACGUAUGGGUACUUGCAGUUAUUACUGCUAUGCACAAGGCACAGUGUAUAAGUUAUCUUACUUAUUGCUAAUGAUAUCCCCAUGAAGUAGGUAUUUGCAGUACAUCUGACCAAGAGAAAAACAAAGGUUUGGAGAGUUUAAGCAUUUUGCCCAUGGUAUAAUCACUGGCAAUUAAUAGGACCAGGAUUAUUUGCCCGGUUUGUAUUCCCAGUUGUGGCCUUCUUCUAUUCCCUUACAUUGGGGAAUGGGAAGAAAAUGGCCAUGUUAAUGUUCAAGGAGAGUAAAUAAGAAUGUACUUGAUAUACUGUUGAUAUAAUUAUGGAUUAAAAAGAAGACACUUUUUGAUCAUCUCUUUGUAUACCAAUGGGAGUUUUUCUGGGAUCAAAUUUUACUUUGCAGCCUGGCAGACUCAAAAAUAACCAAGCACUUGGGCUAUAAUUGUUUGCCAUGUGAUUUUCUCAUCCUUUCUAUGGUACUUACCUUGCAAUUAAAUGAUCAAUAGUUAUCCUGUGAGUAGCAAGUAUACCUAUGAAAUUUGUGACCUGGAAAAUCAACCAUUACAAGAGUGGAAGUGUUAAAUGGUCUGGAAAUGAUCAGGGCCAUCAAAUCCACACCAAGGGGAAGGUGAGGCUGCCUCCUCCCUUUGACACAUUCAUCAAGGCACUCAAUUCAGAGAUACCCAAAUAAACUCCUGGGCCGUGAAUUGGCACCAUCUGCAGGCCUUUCCACUUGGGUGCUGGAGCUGCCUGUGGCCGCGUCUCCUUCCAGGCUGGGAAGCAUAUGCUGAACCACACAACGUGUUCAGGAAAUAUCUGUUAAGUGACCAACUGAAGAACUUUUCAGAGGGCAGAAGGCAAUUCUGGAAGAGGAAGUCAGAAUAAGGGGAAAGUCAUGAGAUGGGUAUGGCCGCAGUGUUGUUCAGGGGCACAGCGUCAGCCUGGCCGAGCUCGAUGGUUUGGGUCAGGACAGUUUAAUACUUGGUAGCCUGGGAACUUCAAGGCAUUCAUCCCCAUUCUUCCUCCCCGGUUGAGCCCAUCACCCCCUUCACUGCUUUUGGGCUUGACUUGGUAUCAGUCUGAGUCUAGGUCACUUGAAUGUACUUAGCACUUGAACUGGAAACUCUCUUUCCUACAGAGACAGUUAUAUCAGCUCUCAGGAGUAGAGGUGACUAUAUUUGGGUUACUGUUUUAAUUAGGACAGUCAGCUCUAACGGAAAUGCUCUCAAAGAGAGGUUGGGUGUGUCCAUCUCUGCCAAUUAGGAAGCGAAUUCAAGCUGCCCCCAUUCAUAGGUGCAAUGUUUGUUAAGCCCACAACCUAGUUCACAUUGCAAGCCACUCAAUACUCACUUGUUCAUAGAAUUAAAACUCAAGAGAGAGAAACAGAGCUGCUUGGCCCUCUGCUGAAGGGUCUGGUUUUCUCUAACCAGAAUGCUCUGAGGGAAAAAUUCUAAAGUAGACCUGAGACCAGCAGGUGGGGAGAAGUGGAGGGGAGGAUGGGUUUCACCCCUUAAACUAGAAGUGACUCCAGGCAGUCAGGCCCAGAGAGCACAUUUGCAUUGAGUGUCAUAUUAGCCAUAUAGAAAGUUACCUGGCUAUUUAAUUUCUUUUCUUUGGGUUUUCACGGGUUCACAGUGAAGGGCCUUUAGUGGUUGCAUUUGUAAUCACUAAGAUCACACAACAAGUUGGCACCAGGGCUGAGCUUAGCCUCUCUUCUAUUUACAUGGUGCCUUUUACAUUUUUAAAGUCCUUUCACAUACAUUUAUUUCUCAAAACUAAUUAUGUAAGAAUGAUGAUUCCCAGGAGUUCCCUGAUGGUCUAGUAGUUAGAAUUCCAUGCUUUCACCACUCUGGCCGAGGCUCAGUCCCUGGUCUGGGAUUUGAGAUCCCACAUCAAGCCACAGCAUACCAAGGCCAAAAAAAAAAAAAAAAAAAAA
rnacentral:lncRNA from 1 species